GUCAUCCUCCCAAUGCCAUUGCUCUUCCUCUUCUCCUACAACGACAAGUAUUUUUAGCAGCUUUGGUGCACUCGCGCGGGUGACUCUCGGUGAAUGUUUUCAUCAUGGGGCAAUCUCUCACAAUCAAUUUUUCCAAUGAUGGGAAUUUAAAUUCACAUUUCUUGUAGCUGCAGAAACUCGUGAGGAUUGAGGCAAGAAGACCAAGUAGAGUGACCAACCUUUGUGGUUGUGUGCAAUUGAGGAAAGCUCAAGAGCAAGGUACUGAUAGAGGUGAGGUUGAUCGAGGCAAGAAGCAUGAGUAGAUUGUACCUGAUAUCUGGGCAUGUUGAGUUGCAUGCCAUUUAGCAUUGCUAUAUGUAUAUUUUGAUGCCACAUGAUGUAUUUUGGAGGAC